AUUGAACGCUGGCGGCAGGCCUAACACAUGCAAGUCGAACGGUAACAGGAAGACACUUGCUUCUUUGCUGUCGCGAGGCGGGCGCGUGUGUCAUGUCUGGGGAAAUGCCUGAUGUCGGGGGGUAACUAGUGGGAAAGGUUGCUCUAACAGCAUAACCUCCCAAGACUAGAGAGGAGGACCUUCUCGCCUCUUGCCCUCGGAUGUGACCCGAUGGGGUUAGCUCGAAGGUGGGGUAAAGGCACACCUAGGCGACGAUCCGUAGCUGUUGUGAGAGGAUGAUCAGCCACACUGGAACUGAGACACGGUCCAGACUCCUACGGGAGGCAGCAGUGGGGAAUAUUGGACAAUGGGCGCAAGCCUGAUGCAGCCAUGCCGCGUGUGUGAAGAAGGCCUUCGGGUUGUAAAGACCUUUUAGCGGGAAAGAAGAGACUAAAGUUAAUACCAUGGCUCAAUGACGGUACCCAAAGAAGAAGCACCGGCUAACUUCGUG
rnacentral:rRNA from 1 species